UGGCGCACGGGUGUUUAAUAUAUAGAUAACCUGCCCUCAAGAAAGGAAUAACAGUUGGAAACGACUGCUAAUGCCCUAUAUGCCUUUAAUCAUAAGUAUGCAAGGGAAACGCUUUAGUGCUUGAGGAUGGGUCUGUAUGGUAUCAGCUUGUUGGUGAGGUAAUGGCUCACCAAGGCUAUGACGCCUAACUGGUUUGAGAGGAUGAUCAGUCACACUGGAACUGAGACACGGUCCAGACUCCUACGGGAGGCAGCAGUGGGGAAUAUUGCACAAUGGACGAAAGUCUGAUGCAGCAACGCCGCGUGGAGGAUGACACAUUUCGGUGCGUAAACUCCUUUUAUAUAGGAAGAUAAUGACGGUACUAUAUGAAUAAGCACCGGCUAACUCCGUGCCAGCAGCCGCGGUAAUACGGAGGGUGCAAGCGUUACUCGGAAUCACUGGGCGUAAAGAGCGUGUAGGCGGGUAUAUAAGUCAGAAGUGAAAUCCAAUAGCUUAACUAUUGAACUGCUUUUGAAACUGUAUACCUAGAAUGUGGGAGAGGUAGAUGGAAUUUCUGGUGUAGGGGUAAAAUCCGUAGAGAUCAGAAGGAAUACCGAUGCGAAGGCAACCUACUGGAACAUUUAUUGACGCUGA
rnacentral:rRNA from 1 species